UAGGGAAUCUUCCGCAAUGGGCGAAAGCCUGACGGAGCAACGCCGCGUGAGUGAUGAAGGUCUUCGGAUCGUAAAACUCUGUUAUUAGGGAAGAACAAAUGUGUAAGUAACUAUGCACGUCUUGACGGUACCUAAUCAGAAAGCCACGGCUAACUACGUGCCAGCAGCCGCGGUAAUACGUAGGUGGCAAGCGUUAUCCGGAAUUAUUGGGCGUAAAGCGCGCGUAGGCGGUUUUUUAAGACUGAUGUGAAAGCCCACGGCUCAACCGUGGAGGGUCAUUGGAAACUGGAAAACUUGAGUGCAGAAGAGGAAAGUGGAAUUCCAUGUGUAGCGGUGAAAUGCGCAGAGAUAUGGAGGAACACCAGUGGCGAAGGCGACUUUCUGGUCUGUAACUGACGCUGAUGUGCGAAAGCGUGGGGAUCAAACAGGA
rnacentral:rRNA from 1 species